rnacentral:rRNA from 1 species
CGGUAAUUCCAGCUCCAAUAGCGUAUACUAACGUUGUUGCAGUUAAAAAGCUCGUAGUUGGAUUUCUGAUCUUUGCCAAUGGUUGUGUCGCCGCGUGCGAGGCGCCUUGCGCAGAGGUCAACAUAUGUCACGAGCCAGUGUGAUCUAUUCAUUUAGGUCCACUGGGUAAUGACUCGUUUACUUUGAGAAAAUUAGAGUGUUCAAAGCAGGCAUUUGCCUUGAAUAUGUUAGCAUGGAAUAAUAGCAUAGGACUUCGGUUCUAUUUGUUGGUUGUUCGAGAACUGGAGUAAUGAUUGAUAGGGACGGUUGGGGGCAUCCGUAUUCUCAAGCGAGAGGUGAAAUUCUUGGACCUUGGGAAGACGAACAGCUGCGAAAGCGUUUGCCUAGGACGUUCUCUUUAAUCAAGGACGAAAGUUGGGGGAUCGAAGACGAUCAGAUACCGUCGUAGUCUCAACUAUAAACUAUGCCAGCUAGGGAUCGGUGGGUCUUUGUCACGAGUCCAUCGGCACCUUACGAGAAAUCAAAGCAUUUGGGUUCCGGGGGGAGUAUGGUCGCAAGGCUGAAACUUAAAGGAAUUGACGGAAGGGCACCACCAGGAGUGGAGCCUGUGGCUUAAUUUGACUCAACACGGGAAAACUUACCAGGUCCGGACAUAGUAAGGAUUGACAGAUUGAAAGCUCUUUCUUGAUUCUAUGGGUGGUGGUGCAUGGCCGUUCUUAGUUGGUGGAGUGAUUUGUCUGGUUAAUUCCGUUAACGAACGAGACCCGCGCCUGCUAAAUAGUCGGCCUCACUUCUGUGGGUGUUGUACUUCUUAGAGGGACCAUCCUGGGUAUACCGGAAGGAAGUUGCGGGCAAUAACAGGUCUGUGAUGCCCUUAGAUGUUCUGGGCUGCACACGGGCUACACUGCAAGAUACAACAAGCGUCGAUCACGCCUGACUGGAAGGUCCGGCCAAUCUUUGAAUAUCUUGCGUGAUUGGGAUAGACCAUUGCAAUUAUUGGUCUCCAAUGAGGAAUUCCUAGUAAACGCGUGUCAACAACACGCAUUGAUUACGUCCCUGCCCUUUGUACACACCGCCCGUCGCUCCUACCGAUUGGAUGUUUCGAUGAGCCGUUUGGAGGACUAAGCUGAAAGCGUCAGCCGGAAGCUACGUCCGAAAUUCUGCAAAUCUGAAUAUCUAGAGGAAGGAGAAGUCGUAAAAGGGUAACC